rnacentral:lncRNA from 1 species
GCUUAAACUCUUUUCUACAGUUGUAGAGAAAAGACAUUUCAAUUACAGUGGGUGUUACUGAAGCAUGUCCAAGUGUACUUUUUGUGUUCUCUAUUUUGUGUUCUUUGUUAUAUGUAGCCUACAGUGAAAGAAGAGACCCUUCACCCCUCCAGUCUGAAAUCACAAGGGAUGAGGAGGGACACACCACACCAUAGGCUGAUGGUCAAAUGGAGGAACUUCAAUCACCAGGACUGCUUGUCUCUACUGGAGAGCAUCAGUCAAGGAGUUGACAACUGAGCUGCCCUGGGGAAGGAAGUGAAGAAACUGGCCUGUUGGGGAUAACACAGGAGAACAUGUGGGCUGAAGUCUCCCUAUGGCAGAGAGGGCAAAAUUAAAUGAAGAUCUCCUGGAUCCUGAGGACAUCAACUCACCCAGCACUGAUGGGAACACCACACUGUGAUUCUUCACCCCCAGUCAAAAAAAGACUUGUUCUUUGCGCAGCUUUUGAAAGAGUCUGGCACCUUUACAUUCUGGACAGCGGAUGGAGGUUGCUUCAGGAAAAGUUACUUACACUUUUGCAAACCUCUCAAGCAAAUCAAUCAGUUCACUCCUCCUUAGUGCAGAUAUUAUCUUUGCCACAAUCAGGAAGCAGGAAGAAGUUUUUCAAAAAUCCUCGUUUGCCCUCCGAGACUGACUGGCUUCCCCGCAGCCCUACCCCGCAGGCAGCCCAGCCUCUGCGGAAGGCACCUGCUGUCAUCUCCAAACAGACGAGGAAGGGAGACAUCUAAAGGCAUCCCCGGGAAGUUCACUCUUCUUCUGCCCACGCCGAUCCCAGAUUUCGACCGCCGGUUUGACAGAGGCAAGUAUCCCCGCUGUGCAAAAGCAGACCUAGCACAGAAGCAGAAUAUUUCUGAGAAGCAUUGCGCACAUUCCCUGCAGUCGUGCCAGAAAGGACAGGAGUGUCUAAGCUACAGCCUCAUACUACAGUAUGCUGCUAGCCUCCUAGCUGCAGUUCUUGAACAGUUCUUGAUCUGCACUUCCAUCCUUUCCCCUCACACCCCGAGGUCACUGCUGAAAGGGAAAGUGCAGAUGGAAGCUGAGAUGUAGAGGCACAUCUGACAGGGGACGUGUAGGAGCAUCAGUAACACAUGCAAUAAGCAUUCAAACUUUCAGGAGGCUGCACAGCAUUCACCACUAACAGCAAGCAGGAAGGUGAAAAACAUCUCCUCCACUACAGAGCUGUCAGUGGAAGUGGCUGCCUUCCCAUCAGGAGAGUGCAACACAGAGUAGACAGUGCAUCUUGUCCGUGAGCUGGAACUGAGGCACCCGCUUCCUUCCCCUCACCCUGUCUGAGAUCAAUGGUAGCUCCAAGGCCCAAAGUGCUCCUUUCUUUCUUUGCCAUCAUCGCCACCCAAAGUGCAGCAGGUCAGGGAGCUGCUGGAGAGUGAGGCUUUUUCUAAUUCUUGGGACUGGCAUUUUCAUGACGAAAAGAAAAAAAGUUACAUUUUCAAAUCAAUAUUAGGUGAACAGUUCAGAAUAAAAGCUUUUCCCUUAGAGAUGCA